GAUGAACGCUGGCGGCGUGCCUAAUACAUGCAAGUCGAGCGAACAGAUGAGGAGCUUGCUCCUCUGACGUUAUCGGCGGACGGGUGAGUAACACGUGGAUAACCUACCUAUAAGACUGGGAUAACUUCGGGAAACCGGAGCUAAUACCGGAUAAUAUAUUGAACCGCAUGGUUCAAUAGUGAAAGACGGUUUUGCUUUCACUUAUAGAUUGAUCCGCGCCGCAUUAGCUAGUUGGUAAGGUAACGGCUUACCAAGGCAACGAUGCGUAGACGACCUGAGAGGGUGAUCGGCUAGCCGGGAAGUGAGAAACGGUAGAGACUCCUACGGGAGGCAGCAGUAGGGAAUCCUACGCAAGGGGCGAAAGGCUGACGGAGCAAAGCGGCGGGAGGGAUGAAGGUCUUAGGAUGGUAAAACGCUGUUAUUAGGGAAGAACAAAUGUGUAAGUAACUAUGAACGUAAUGACAGUACCGAAUGAGAAAGCUACGGCUAACUACGUG
rnacentral:rRNA from 1 species